UACGAAGGGUGCAAGCGUUACUCGGAAUUACUGGGCGUAAAGCGUGCGUAGGUGGUUUUUUAAGUCCGUUGUGAAAGCCCUGGGCUCAACCUGGGAAUGGCAGUGGAUACUGGAAAGCUAGAGUGCGGUAGAGGGUAGUGGAAUUCCCGGUGUAGCAGUGAAAUGCGUAGAGAUCGGGAGGAACACCAGUGGCGAAGGCGGCUACCUGGACCAGCACUGACACUGAGGCACGAAAGCGUGGGGAGCAAACAGG
rnacentral:rRNA from 1 species